GACGAACGCUGGCGGCGUGCCUAAUACAUGCAAGUCGAACGCAGUGGGGCCGGGUGAUUAACAAGUGGGUAACCUUCCAUCAGGGGGGGUACCACUUGGAAACAGGUGCUAAACCGAUACUGAUGGAUGGACCCGCGGUGAAUUAGCUAGGUGGUGAGGUAACGGCUCACCAAGGCGACGAGGAAUAGCCGACCUGAGAGGGUGAUCGGCCACACUGGGACUGAGACACGGCCCAGACUCCUACGGGAGGCAGCAGUAGGGAAUCUUCGGCAAUGGACGAAAGUCUGACCGAGCAACGCCGCGUGAGUGAAGAAGGUUUUCGGAUCGUAAAACUCUUUUGUUAGAGAAGCGGUAUCUAACCAGAAAGCCACGGCUAACUACGUGCCAGCAGCCGCGGUAAUUC
rnacentral:rRNA from 1 species